CUCCGACUCAAUAAAAUUUUGGGUCACUCUCCCUGCUCCCAAAUUGCUCUCGGCCUCCGACUCAAUAAAAUUUUGGGUCACUCUCCCUGCUCCCAAAUUGCUCUCGGCCUCCGACUCAAUAAAAUUUUAGGUCACUCUCCCUGCUCCCAAAUUGCUCUCGGCCUCCCUCAAUACCGUUCCGCAGCCACCCCAACCCGAAUCCAAACCCCAAGGCUUGGAACCGCGACGCCCUCACCACGCUCAAGCUCAUCUGCAACCUCGGCAGCGUUAUCCUAAUUAACUCUCUGCUCCGCCGCGUUAUCCUAAUUACCUCUCGGCUCCGCCCUCUUUCGUCUUUCAAUUCUUUGAGCCCAUAACUCCAUCUCGAUCUGAUACCCCCGAUGAUUACUCAGAUCUCCUCCUCGUCUCCACUUUCCAUCACCUCCUUGAGCUAUUUUCCUCUCUAGAUAUACCAAAUUCAACAGAAUACAAUGUUAGGAAUUGGAUCUAAUUAGUGGAACCCCAACUGGUCCAACCGGCCUCCACACUUUGUUCUUUGUUUCUGGGUUUGCAGAUUUCGGGUUCUUCCUGCUCUCUCUCCGUCUCUUUUGAUUUUUAUUUCUUUUUAGAGUCUCUGAAAGGUUUUCCAAAAAGUUACAAUCUUUUCUUUUCUUUUCUUGUGUUUCAGCAUCUGCUUUGAGAGAGAGAGAAAGAGAAUCAAGAGCCAAUCGAUUCAGAGGAGUAAAGCCCAGGAAGUCGAUUCUCCGCGAUCGCCGGAGCAGAUAAAGAAAACGCAUCAGAUUUACAGGUUUCUGCAGAAAAAGUAUAUACUCCGAAUUUGUUGCAUUUAAUGGUUUUUGUUUUUGGAUAGUAAUUGGGGAUUCUGCAGUUGAAUCAGAAAAUUGAUCGGAAAAUAAACAAUGUUUCAUUAGUUCAGUGGUGUUUGUAUGCAAUUAACUCAGAAGAAUUCAUUUUUUAGUCAGCUGAGUAGUUCUAUGUUUGAGUAUGCUUACUUCAUGGAAUGUCCUUUUCUUGCAUGAUUUGGUUACCUAAAAUAUGUAUUAUAGCUUGGUCAGGGUGGUAAAAGCAGCUGGACUUCUACACUAUCCAAAGGUGUUAGCUUUGACAAAUUGUCAUGUUGUUUUGUGCAUUUGAGAAUUACUUAAGUUCAGUUUGCUAUGUCUGUGUGUGGUUUUGUAUUUGUAAUUGAAGCACUUAGUGUUUGCUCUUACUGUGUUUGUCUUGGCUCUAAUUUGAGUAGAAAACUAAGGAAGAGAGGGAGAGGCAAAUUGGGUCAAACUAGAUCAUGGAAUAAGCACAGAGGAGCUUAGUUAGCUAAAAGGGUGAACAUUGAAAACAUUUAUAUGGUACUGCUGGAAACAUUUAUAGGUGCGCCAAUUAUAUGGUACUGCUGGAAACUUUUGUAGCUGCAGGUAUGAUGAACUUGCUUCUAACCCUAACAUGGAGUACAUUGCUGGAGGUAAAACAUGGAUUACACUUGGUUUUGGAUUUCAAUGUUGUUAUUGUGGAUAUCUUAAGUUACUCCAUUUGAGUUGCCCAGGUACUAAAUGAAUUGCUUUUUGUGAUGCUCAAGUAAUCCGAUGAUUUACGUCCUUCUUUAAUUGUCAUGAUUCACCAUAAACUAAUUUCUCUUUACUUUCUGCAGUGUACACGAACAAAACAUGAACUUUUCGAACUCAUGUGGUUUUAUAACUUGCAACAAGUAAUUUUAGUUUUCCACCAGAUUUGCUCGAACUUAUAUCUCCCUUCACUACUAAUUCUUUUUCUAAAACGGGACUACUGUUACGAGGAUGAGUCUGCACUAACAUGUACUUGUGGUGUUUGUGUAAUGGGUGGUGCAAGGUGAGCUUCAGUUGAAGCUUGUUUAAAAAAUUUCACAUUUUGCCUGCCAAUUUAAUAGUUGUACUCUAUACUUCUUACAAAUAUAAUAGAUACUCAGAACUUGGUGUGGAGAACUGAUAACGGUUUUGCUCAAGAAACUUAGGUCAUACUUAUUGCCAAUUCACAUCCGCUAACUGCUACAAAGUUGAGCAUUUAAAAAGACUAGAAAAUGGGCGUUGGAUGGGUAACCGUUCAGCCAAGUGUUUUAGGUUUCUAAUUUCGUUUCUCUAGUGUUUCAUCUUUCUGAACUGAUUUCUUUGUCAAUCCUGUUUGAGAAGUUGAGAAGGCCAAGUAACUGUAUCUCCAGAACCAUUCAGCUUGUUGCUAAAAACAACUGGUCCAACCGGCCUCCAAGGAGUCUAUCGUCCUCGAUUGGUGCGACUUUGAGCACCAAAUGCCCGGGACGGAGGAACCGUACACAACUGCGAUGACGACGGCGCAACCGGCAUCAGCAGCCAUGGCCACCGCGUCGCCCUUGGAUUCUCCGAAGACAGACUCCGAAGCCGCCGACACGGAGCCAAACCCUAACCCUAAUCCUUCAAACGCAUUGUUCCCUGUUUCCCCAAACGACUUUGUUGUCUGCCUUCUCAGGUUCGCUGGGGACUCCGGUGGUGCAUUCAUGGGCUCUAUCUUUGGCUAUGGUUUCGCCUCUUCCUCUUUCUCUUUCUGUUUAUCUGCCUGUUGCGUGGCCUAUGGGAAUUUGAGUUAUUUUGGAUGUUGAUUUUAAAUUUUUUACAAGAUAUUAUAUGCAGUUUUCAUUUGGGAUUUUGCUCUUUCCAAAGAAUAAAAGGAUUGUUCUUUUUGUUCAAUACUGCUAAUUUUUAAGUAUGCUAGUGUUUGAAAGUUUGAUGUUAUGGUUUGUAUGGUAGAAUUGAGUUAAGGUACUUAAUUUGAUGCAUGAGGGUGUGAUUUGUGUCACGAACGGAUGAAUCAGUAAUUGGGAUUAAGUUGUUAGAACUUAAAACAGUAUCAAAGGUUAGAAAUUGCACGAGUCUAAGGUUGGAGAUGGAUUGGUGCAUGAUACAUGACUGGUUUUGGCCUAUGGUGUUAUUGGUUUUGUAAUACCAUGUUUUUCCCAAUGCAAGUACCAAGCCUUUAGAAUUUGUCAUGCAAGACAAUUGUUUUUUACAGUGUUUUUUUCAAUCAUUGACUCUAUCAUGAAUUGACAGCGUCAUUGAUUUCUGGGUAAUCAUGCACACAUUGCAAGGGAUGAAGAACAAACCAUCCCUGUUAAAUUUGGCUUUUGAUUUGAAAGUUUGUACUUGUAAAAGGAAGAGAUUCAAGGAUAUAAGUUUAGCACCAAAUCAAAUAUGCACAGACCCUUCUUAAGAAUCUAUGCUCAACUAUCUCAGUUAAAUUGUUAUAUGUAUAUAUGCAGUACAUAGAUCAAACUUUGAGAAACUUUUAAGAGAGAUACAUGUAAAUGUGUCUGUGUGCCCAUGGUUAUAUCAUUAUAGUUCGAUGUUGUAAUUCUGGUGGCGAAAUCUUUUCUUUAUCAACUAUGUGAUUAUCUGUGUAAUUCAGUACUUACUGUGCAAUUGCAUCGGUAUUCUUCUAUGAAUGUCGUGUCUCAAUAAUUCAAACUUCUUCACUACCUAGUCAUGGGAUUUUGCAGGAAGUGUAAAUACAGUACUGCGUUUCUUUAUAUCAUGUAUAUAGUUAUUAUUUUCUCUUUAUGUUUUAAAUAUGUUAGUCUGGGAGUUCAUCAUGAAUUAACUCUUCGGUAUGAAAAAGGUACAUGCAGACAUAGAAACUGAACAUAUUGUUAAAAACUAAAACAAUAUGCCAGCAUUUGAGAUUAAAUUGACAAUAUUGUAAUGCUCUACUUGCUCUAGAAAUAGUAAAAUAGAGUUAGAACUGCCAUGUCUUUAUGUAGCACUUAAUUUUUUCAGUCUGACGAUGAUUUGAUCCAUCUGUGUGGAACUGAUCAGUACUACCCAUGAAGGCUAUGGAUAAGGGUAUCAUGCUCAAUAGGAACAAGGUAUUGGAUAGUUUGCUGACCAUUAAGUGCAAAUCAAUUUGUUUCAGUGGGAGAAAAAAGGGAAAGCAGCAUAUACCCAGCAGCAUAUUGAUGAAGUCAGAAACGAGUGGGCAAAAUUUGUUGUUAAAACAUAUAUGUAAGCUUGUGGUUGGGUAUCGACUUAUUUUGGUAACCUUGAUUUUACAAGAUAUAUAGACAAUAUUAUUAUUACUUGCUAGAUUGAGGUUACUUUUGGUUAGAAUUGCUGGAUAUAGAUAUGUACUUUUGGAAAUGUUUUGGAUUGGCAAUGUAAGAACAGAUGACAUUGAUAUAUGACAAUGUUAUAUUUUGGAUUUGUUCAGGAUA